CUGACAGGUCUGCAUAGCCUUGUGGUAAGCAAGGUCAUCGGAACGACUUCAGUUCUAUGUCAACACUGCACAAUGGGAAAGGAAGUCCUGCUCUAGGAAGACCUUUUUCUUGAUUAAGACCUCUGGAAUUCAAGAUAAGUCCUUGUAUAGCACAAGCAAGAUUUGGUCAAUGAAACCAAAAUUCUCAAAAUUCUCUGCGCGAGGUAUGUGAUUUAUACCUUGCAAAGGGAGAAGGAAACUACGUUUCCCAAUGGUUUCAGCUGCAACUGUGAACUCUGUGUUUUAACAGCUCAGACCUUCAGAAAUCAAGUAAGAUCCCCACAAAUCCUGGCUGUCUGUCAAGAAAACACUUUGAAAUUACUGGAUUGCCAGAAAGGAAGAAACCAGGUGAGAAUCCAGUUUUACAGCACAGCAUCCAGACGUCCUCACACUUGAAAGGUGCCUGCUGGCCAUUAUUGCUGCAGAGGUGUUACAGACGAAUGCAUACCUGUAGACCUGGACAACAUUCACCUUACAUCCUGACAGGAGAUUCUCAUAGACUGAUGUGUGAUCACAUACUUAAUGCUUCUGUGUUGCUGAGGUACUUCAUGUCAGAUGCCAUUCUGUCAGAGUGCCCCACUGCUGUGAUCUGUCAUAUGGCUACAGAUGUAAUGGAAUAUUGGUAGGAAGGUUCAAGCUCUACUGCCGUACCACCAAUGUCCACCUCUGAUACUGUGGGCUAACAGAAUAAAAUUGGAGGCAUUACAUUUGGAGCAGCCAUUGAGAUUCAAAAACUUUGUGAAAUUUUGAAAGAUCCUUGUUAAUGGAUUGAUUAAAGUGCUUAUGUCCUUCAUCUGCUGUAGAAGAGCCAAGGUGUCCAACCUGAGCUGAACAGUUGACUCUCAAGUCAUCUAAAGAACUUGUGCCUGGAAUCAUCAAUCCAGAGACUGUCUGUGCUAAUCCACAUGGAAGAUGCCUGGAAGGUCACGCAAAAUACUGCUUCUGUCUGUGGAGAGAUGUCAUCAUUCUCAAUGUUCUCAGCACUGCCAAGUGUUUGAUCUAUAAAUCUAUAUUUACGGCAACAGUUCACAUUCACACUGAAAACCUGCAAACCAUUUUGCCCAGCAGUAGUCAGUAUAUUAAUUUGCAACACAGUUGGCAGAGUAUAUAGUAAACAGAGUGGCCAUCCAGUUUUCUUCAAAGUCUUCUUUACAGAGGAUGAACAUGCUGUUAGCUACAUCUUCGAAAGCUUAUAUGAAUGUGCACUUUAUAAGGUUAUAACAUGUUCCCAUAAUCAAGAAUGAAAAGGGGGGGGGAAAGUACAACAAAAGCAGAAACAAAAUACUCCACAACCAAUGUCAAUUGUUUUCUGUCAUUAUCUGCAACAUUUUAAAACAGGAGAGCAGAGGGUUUUUUGUCCAUAACAGUGGUAAUUUUCCACUUUCUAACUAAGGCUUGUUUCUUGAUCUGAGCAAUAUUAGCUCUGAAAGUUCUGGCUAUUUAGCCGUAUAUCUUACAUCAAACAAGACCCAAAUCAGUGUCAUAUAAGCCUUUAAAGAAUUCCACAAAAUUAAACAUUGCAGUUAAACAUUACAAAAUGUUUAAAGUCAAUUAUCAAGGAGUAUUUUUCACAAGAAUAUGUCUAAUACUUUUCACAAGAAUAUUUUAAUACAAAAUUUAGUAUAGGGUAUGGGUAAAUAUUUCUUGUAACUUUGUAUCCUGAUUACAUUCUCCUUCCUUCAUCUUCCUCUGACCAUAUGGUGGUCCCAUGAAGAGCUUUAAUCAAAGAAUCUUCUGACAGUUUUAAGUAGGAUGAUAGUAAGCCUAAUCAAGUUCAUCUGAAAGAUCUAUGGAACAGUCAGCCCAAAACCAGUGAAACAAGCCUGAAAGGACUCCAGGAGAUACAGAUCAUUUCUGCAGUUGACCAGUGAAAUGAGAAGUGUAGAAAUGUUGUCAGCUGUGAAACAAAACUCUCCUGAGCAGAAUUCACAGGUUACUGAGGAAUGCAAGGGGUGUGAAACAAAGCCUGGAAAGCAUUGCAAGACCACUAAGUGGAGAGUUGAGAAACCAAGAACUGUAAACAAUUUCUUCUUGCUUGAUUUGUUGGGAGUACCACAGUAUACCAGCUUCCAGAAAAAAGAAUGAGAGAAAGAUGUAUCUCAGUAAGGACAGAAGAACAGGCAGAGGUCAUCAGCUUCGAAAGCCCUUUUUUGGCUUUGCAUGUUGCCAUUAUACAGUGAAUAGCUUGACAAUUGUUCUACAGAAAUUCAGCUGGAGUCAGUUUCAAAUAUACUUGGUUUUCUGCUUUCUUAGUCUUUACCAAAGAUAGGGGAAGCAGCAUCAAACCACAUGCAGGUUUAUUUCUGGGAAUAUCCAGACCUUGUAAUGUCCUUCAGUCUUCUGAAUAAUGAAACAAAUUUACUCAUUCGCAUGGAGAUGAUCAUCGUAACCUAGAUUUUUAGUCUUCAGUAAGGGAUAGCAUAGUAAGUUCAGAGAAAGGAUGGGGGAAGGAAUAGCAUUUCAAUAAUUUGAAAAAAUACUGCUGCAGUCAAUAAAUUACACUUUUGUUCUUCCCUAGUGAUUUUUUGCACCUUGAUAAAUUAGCUUAAAACUGUCAGGUUGAAAAAAAAAAUCUAAAAUGUGCCUGUUUACCUGAGUUGAAAGCUUGAACUGGAUUUCUCUUACUCUCAGCAGAAGUGACUUUUAGAUGAAAGCUGAACUCUGACCUUGUCAUAUAAUCUCUGCUGAAAUCAGUGAAAUGUGCAUUUACUACCAAGUGAAGAAAUCAGUUCAGACAUAGCAUCCUUAUCAGAUAUUGGAAUUAAAAUAGCUGCAUCAAGUCUUAAAUGCCUACCCUAUAUUUAUCUCUCUCUUAUGUUGUCCUUGAUACUUCUGAAGCUAAAUCCAGCUGAGAUCACUGCAUCUAAAAAUGGCUGUUUCUCUUUAAAAGCUUUGUGCCCCUUUACAGAUCCUUUCCUCCACAUACGGAGUAGAGGACAUAUAAUUCCACUGUUGCUGAUGCAAUAGAAAAUACAAUGGAAGAAGGAUGAAUAUAGGCUAUGUGUAAUUUAGCAAAUACAUGGCACAAGAGUGAAAUCUAUACAGUGAAUUAUUUGCUGCAGAGGAUGAGCAAUCUAAGUCAUAUAUAUUUGAAAGUGUUAUUCCUGCCUUCCAGUUUGAUCCUGUGAACUAACUGCCCAUUAGGAGUUAGAGCUCAUUAGCUGCACUCUUACAGCACAGCAUCUCUUACCAAUUCAGUCAUGAGGAAAUAAUUGAGUAAGAGCACUCCAAAAAUACUGCAAGACAAAGCACAACUGUAAAGAGUCUCCUCAUCUAAUACAAAACAGUAAUGUGGACACACCUAUAAAUUGCCUAAGAUUUUCUUGUUUAAGAUUCUCCAGACUAAUCAUAUGCUGCUCCUGAAGUCACCAUAGCAGCACAUAAUACUUAGAGGAUUUGAGGACAAUGAAAAAGCAGUGGGAGGAUCCACUAAUGUGACAGUUUCAUGCCUGAAAGAGAUCACAGUAUUUGUGAUUGCACAGAGAACUUCCUAGCAUAUUAAUCUGAAGCCUCCAAAAGUUGAAACCAUUAAAAAAAACUCUUUUGCACAGCUAUGAUUGUAGGCAAGCAUAUCUUCAGUUUCAUCAGAACUGCAAAACUACAGUUAGUUUUCUCACUCCAUUAUUGUACAAAAAGAAAGAGCAUAGAUAUGGUAUAUUUUUCUGUUUGAAUGUGAAUAGUUACCUCAGGUAUUUGAAUGGCAUGAAGCAGGAAAAAAAAGAGUCUAAGAUGGCAUAGCUCACCCUACUGAGCAAUACAGGCAAACUAGUAACAAUGGACAAGGAGAGGGCUGAGGUACUCAACUAGUUUUUUGCCUCAGUCUUCACUGUCAGCUGCUCUUUACAGAGCCCUUGAGCAAAUGGUUUGGAAGGUGGGAAGUAGGGGAACAAUCUCUCUCAUGCUGUACACAAAGGUCAUCUGAAAGUCUAUGGUUCCCAAUGAGAUGCAUCCCAGAGUCCUGAGGAAACUGGCCAGUGUUGCUGACAAGGCACUCUCAGUGAUAUUUGAAAAGUCACGGAGGUCAGGUGAAGUCCCCAGUGACUAGAAAAAAGGCAUUACUGCACUUACUUUUAAGAGGGAAAGAAAGAUUGACCUAGGGAAUUAUCGACCUGUUAGCCUCACUUCUGUGCCAGGGAAGACCAUGGAGCAGAUCCUGCUGGAAUGUAUGCAAAGGGACAUGGAAGAGAAGGAGGUGAUAUGAGAUAACCAACAUGGCUUAACCAAGGUAGAUGUCCCGGUAAUAGGGAGCAGUGAGAAGGCAGAGACACUGAAUGCCUUCUUUGCUUCAGUCUACAAAGGCUGCUCCCAGACCCUGGAGUUAAGAGAGAGUCUGGGGAACUGAAGGCUUCCCCUUGGUUGAGAUGAAUCUGAUCAGAGAAUGCCUAGCUAAAAUCAAUGCACACAAUCCCAUGCGCCCCAUUGAGAUGCAACUGUGUGUGCUGCAGGAGCUGGCAGAAGUGAUUGCCAAACUGACAUCUGUCAUCUUUGGAAGGUCUUGAUGAAUGAAAGAGAGGCCUGAAGACUGGAGGAUAGCUAAUGUCACUCCAGUUUUCAAAAAGUGCAAGAGGGAGCAUCCAGGAAACUAAAUGCCAGUCAGCCUCACCUCCAUCCCUGGAAAGGUGAUGGAAUAACUUGUUCUGGAUGCUAUCUCCAAGCAAUUAGAAGUGAAGGUUAUCAGGAGAAGUCAGCAUGGAUUGACCAAAGGGAAAUCCUGCUCAACCAACCUGGUAAUUUUCUGUGAUGUCAUCACUGGCUCAGUAGAUGGGCAGAGAACAGUGGAUGUUACAUACCUUGACUUCAGCAAGGUGUUUGACACUGUCUCCCCACAACAUUCUUGUAAAGAAGCUUAGAAACUGUGGGAUGGAUGAGUGGGCAGCAAAGUGGAUUGAGAACUGACUGACUGGCAUAGCUCAGAAAGUUGUCAUCAGUGGUGAAGAGUCUGGUUAGAGGCCUAUAAUUAGUGGUGUUCCCCAGGGGUUGGUGCUGGGACUGGUCUUCUUCGACAUAUUCAUCAGUGACUUGGAUGAAGGGAUAGAGUCCACCCUCAGCAAGUUUGCUGACAAUAGAGAGCUGGAAAGAGUGACUGACACACCAGAAAAUUGUGCUGCCAUUCAGCAGCCCUGCAGAAAAGGGCUUGGUCGUACUGGUGGAUGGCAAGCUGGACAUAAGUCAGCAGUGUGCCCUUGUAGUCCAGAAAGCCAACCAUAUCCUAGGCUACAUCAACAGAACUGUGGCCAGCAGGGUAAGGGUGUGUAUUUGAAGCAUCUAACUUUCUUCCUCAGAGAAAAAAAUAUUUAUAUAGAAACAAAACAAAACAAAACAACAACUAAAAAGUAGAUCCUCUAAAAAAAAUCAAUAGUUUAAAUAAAGUAAACAGUAUUUCUUUUUACUGAAGACACUCGGGGAGAGAACAAACAACAAAACAAACAAAGUCAUGGACAACUUAUUAUUUGUGCCAGUCCUACUCCCACCCUAUUAAUGCACCUCAUUUAUGCUUUUUCUGGGUGGUUGAUUAUGUUCCAGCUUGGGAUGACAAACAAAUUUGUUGUAAACUGUCAGGAAAAAUUAGUCUUUUGCAGUUACUGAAUAAAAUCAUUAUCAAAAAUUUAAAAAUAAAAUUGAAAACUCAAUCAUAAUGAAUAGUAACAAUUUCUAUUAAAAUGCAAGGUGGCUUUUACAUUUUAUUGAUCUUCACCUCUUUGCUAACAGUAUAAAGAAAAAAGAAUCUGUUUCUGUGUUGAUGAAGGAAUGUUUCUUCAUCAUGAGUAGCUAAAGUUACUCCCGGAGAAACCAACCUAUGCUCUCAAGAUAUACAUAAAAGGUGUCAUCUUCUUUAGGUAUUCCAUACUUAGUAUAUGGGAAUUGCUAAGUCACAGCCUGAACCAGUGAUUGAGCACCUGGUGAAGGGACAUAGCCAGCCCUAGGAGCACAGGUAAAAGCAGUUCACCUGUACAACUGGAAGGAGUGAGAUCAGGUUCUUCCCCUCCCUAAGGCUGAGCUGAGACAAGGGUAGGGUCUCGAGCUGGAGAUCCCUCCUUUUGGAAUAUUUAGUGAGUGUUGAUUCUUGGGACAGGUAAGCAAUUUUUUUUUCUUUAACUGGAUUAUGACUAUCACCCUUUUUGGGGUAAUUUAGAACUGGAUAUCUGCCGUUGUCUUUCCCUACAUUUCGACUGAACAAGGUCAGAUCAAUCUGGUCUUUCAUGUGUGCUUAUCAUGAUGCAGAACUGUUUGCACUGGUUGUUAGGAGCACCUUGUGCAGCAGUUACCUCUAUGGAGUUCUGAGAUUCCCUGGUCUCUACUGAAGGAGAAGCAGACAAUAGUAUAAUAGAAGUUUAAAAUUCUGCUCUGAAGCAGAUGAGGUGGGGACUUUAAUCAGACACUUCUAUAUUCUAGAAUAGUGAUGUAACUUUAGGCAUGGAAUGAUCACUCAGAGUUCAAAUCCAAUGGAAACACUAGAGAAUCAAGUUUACUUUCUCCUAAUAAAAUAGCCAUCCAUCUGAAUCUUCAGAAAACUCAGUAUUAUCAUAUUCCAGCUCAAAUCAAAUCCAGGAUGUGUAAAUUACACAACAAAGUGAGUGGAUAAAAGGGCUAUACAUGCAUUUUCUCUUUCUUUAUUUUUAGUAAUAUUGCAGCAUUCUCUCUGAGGAGACUCCUCAUCAAAUACUGUAAUACUGCAGAUUUAACUUUUUAGCCAAGGAUCUAGAUAAGAACCUGGGUUUCUGUAUCCAUUCUGAAGUAUGCUUACUAUAAAAGACAGGACAUAUCAAAAACUAGAUUCAUAAAAGUGUCAGGUACUGUGAGCUGUUGCAGGAUGUGAUGCAUUUUUAGUAUGUUUUAGAGCUAUGACAUUAGCUUUAAAAUAAACUUGAAAAAGAAAUAGAAAGGUGUCAUAUCUGGAGGAAAAUAUUUAACAAAAUUUUGUGGUAUUUCUUUGAUUUUGUGUGAUCAUUUCUGACUAAACAAAUUAGUUAGGACAGAAAGCUGUUUAUAAAAAGUAGUUUUCAUUAUCUGUGGCUCCCAGCAUGUUUCUAGCCUCUAUCUCCCCUCAUAAGAAGCCCUUCUCUUUGUCUCUUCCUCCCCAUCCUUACUCAUUUAUUCAGGGCUGAAAAGAUUGAGAUAUUCAGUUAGAAAGAGAAAUCUUCAUUGAGCAGUCACCUUAGCCAGCCCAUCCAUUCAUGUCGACUGGACCAGAACAGCAGCUAGCAGAGUUCUGAAGAGCCCUGACACAGCUGUGAAACUGCUGUAUUUUAGGCAGGAAAGACACCCACCAGGCACAGCAUCUGUUUUCUAUUAAAGCUGUACAGAGAUGCUUCCUUUGGGAUGAAUGAAGUACAUUCAGAUCUUAAAGUUCCCAGCUGUUCACCACAAAAGAGCUGAACAUUUUAAGAUACCCAUCUUCGACAGAAAUCAUCAUGGUCCACCAGAAAUCCUACAGGAUUUUUCCAUUCAAACUUUCUUUCUCCCAGUUGGAACCUGCUGUUCCAGCAGCUUUUGCUGUACCUACCACAUCUCAGUGUGCUGAGAGGCUUGCUAAUGCCACAGUUCUUUUGAAAGAGGAAGGGCAAAAGGACUGAUCUGUAUGCGUCAGGUCUUCCUAAGGGAGGAAGUAGUUUGAAUACAGUGAAGAAUAAGAGGGGGAAGAUACCUCUGUGGGGCUGGUAAGCUGCUGCCCAAGGAGGAAAGUCAAACAUCUGCAUUUUGGAAGAAGAGUGCUUGCUUAGAGAGAAGUAGGAAACUGCUUCUGUGGGGCAGGAGAAGUUUAGAGGGGAGACAAUAUAAAUGUCCUACAGGACCCAAAGCCUAUUAUCAUUUUUAGUCAUCCUGAAAAAGAUAGCUCUUUUUCCUCAGUAAUUAUAUAACGAUUCUGCUAAUAUGUUCAGAUACCUUUCCAGUAAUGAUUUCUGCCAUGCUCUCUUUGAGUAUGAUAACUCAAGAGCACUGACUCCCCAGGAAGGAAGAACUGCAACUUACUGAGGAUUAAGAAAACUUCUAAAGCCAGUACCUUCAGCAGUGGGAGAUUUUUUUUUUUUUUAACAAGAUGAAUGAAAAAACUAAAGUCUUAAAAACACUCAGUUGCCUCUAGACCACAUAUAAAAUAAUGCAUCCAGUUUUGGGAUUCCCAAACACCAUAAAGGCAUAAUUUGAAAUAGCGAUUUGGACUGGCUUUCAUUAUAAGAAAUGCCUAGCAGUAAAGUGGUUAAUCACAAACUGUUUAGUUGCCGUCCUUGGAGGUUUCAAGAUCUGAUUAUGUAAAGCUCAAAGCAACCUGAUCUAACCUUGCAGAUGUUGUUUUCAGCAGAUUGACUACAGGGCUCCCGAGAUCCCUUCCAAAAGGAAUUGCCCUUCUGAGAAGUCUCAUAGGAUCAAGAUGGACAGCAUUUGAAGAUCAAAUUUCAUGGAGGACUUCACAAAUAGUUCUACAAGAUGGACAUUUACCAAUUUCACUGAUUUACUACAAUGAAACCUUGAAGAGUGCAAUUACAGGAUCUUUAUUUGGUGGAUGUGGAGAAACCACACUAAGUGAUUUGUCUAAUCAUACAAUUGGAAUUGAAAGCUGCUUUUUCCUCAGGAAGGAUGCUGGGAUGCACUUUGGAUUCUUUUCCUGCUGCUUCUUGGCUCAGGCCCUGGCAGACAAUGGCAGAUACCUCCCAGAGGAGCAGCUACUAGGAGAUCCAGGGCUGAAUGCCUGACUACUGAACUUCACAGAUCAAACACAUACACCAAAUUUGAGACUGAGAAAUGUCUUAUCCUUCAAAUGGCAUUAUGCUGUUUAAUGUUCUUCACACAGCAUCACAGGAAUGAUAGCUUCCAUGGCACAAGAGGAAGUCAGAAAAGGAAGUCAAGAGACCAGCAAGCAUGAUCCAGGACCUACUUGUGAAACAGGAGAGCAAGUAGAAAAUGCACAGUCAGUGGAAGAGAGCAGAUACCUUGAUACCUUGGGAGAAAUAUAUGGAUGGUGCUAGGCUGUGUAGAGAUGGAGUUAGUGGCCAUUUCAAGAGUUCCACAUCCUUCCUGUACUGGGGGCCUCAGGCCUGGAUGCAGUACUUCAGAUGGGGCCUCACAAGAGCCGAGUAGAGGGGGACAAUCACCUCCCUCUCCCUGCUGCCCACCCCUUUCUUAAUGCAGCCCAGAACACAGUUGGCCUUUCAGGCUGCAAGAGCACACUGCUGGCUCAUGCCCAGCUUCUCAUCCACCAGGACCCCCAAGUCUUUCUCCGCAGGGCUGCUCUCAAGAAGAUCUUCUCCCAGUUUGUAUAAGUACUUGGGAUUGCCCUGACCCAAGUGCAGCACCCUGCAUUUAAGGUAUUUUUUUCACUGUAAAAAUAUGGUCCUUUUCUGUAGUAAUAAGUUGAUCAUAAUCACUGUCUAGCAACUCAAUUUAACGUGGCCUGACCUUUCACUCAUCUUUCAGGAUGUGAUUAGUCUUUUGCUACCUUUUUGUAUUUCACAUAUCCUGCUUAACAAAGAUGAGCAAAUGUUGUCUGUGUUACUGGAUGGCUCCUUUUCCACAUACAGAAAGGCUCAGAGGAAAUGUCAUACCAUCACUCAGCUCCCCUGCCAAAACAAAACAAACAACAAAACUGUGAGAUGUGUUCUGAGAUAUAUGAAAAAGUAUAUCAGGAAAAUCAGCAGAAUAUACAAGGAAUAUAUUUACUAGAGGGAGAUGAAACUUCUUCAUGCAUUGUAUUUUCACCUUAUUUAGUUCAUCUAUUUUUAAUAUCAAAAAGGAAGACUAAAGAAUUGUGUAAGGUCUCUUUCAUCUGUUCUUGUUCUGCAAAGCACAGAGAUAAGCAUGAAUCGACAAUGAAAUAAGCAUUUCAAAAUAUGUCUUGUUACUUCCAUGUAGUGAAGGAGGCAUACUCACUUAAUCAGAAGUAUUGCAACCACAUGGAUGAAUAGUAACAAUCUGUACUGCAGCAGCUAUGCAACAGAAUCUACUUUCUUUCACAGCAAAGUAGAACUAUAUUGAUUUGUCCACCUCUAAGUCAAAAGACUGUUUCCCAGUAAGACCUUCUCUUUCUUCAGAGUUCAGUGUGGGUCUCAAAAAUGUUCUUGAUUAAAGCCAGAAUCAAACAUGCUAAUACUUCAGGUUGGAAAUAAAUACUUCCUUUUUUUCCUCUCUAAAAGGUGUUAAAAAGACUUUUGCAAAUGCUUGAGCUUAAAGCCUACGCUCACUGCUUAUGUUUGCACCUUCAACCAAAGGACUCUACAAAGUCCAGGAAUUUACAGUAGUUCAAAAAGCAAUUGACAGAGUACAACAUCUUAAAAAGAAAAGGAACUACCUUUGAUUCAAUAAUAGUUGAGCUACAAAUCGCUGGUUGCUGGCUGAGUAAUGUAGGGCAGUACAUCAUUAGGCACUUGUUCUGAUCUCACACAUUUCCCUUGACAUCUGCUAUUAGCCAAAGGAUACAGGCUAGAUAAUGAUUUGUCUGACUUGCAACUGUUGAUCUUAUGUUCUUAUUUUCUGAAGUCUGCUUCCUGAAAGCUAAGCCAUCAGGCAAGUCCCUAGAGGGUAUGCAUGAUAUUUUUGAAAAUAAGCUAUUCUAGAAAGCCUAGUCUGGAAGAAAGAAAAUCCACGUCUGUAUGAAUCCUUUGUUUUUGGCUCAAAGGUUACUUUCUGAGGCAUUUCUUGUGAUAAGACUCUGACUUAUCUAGAAGAUGAGAGGUGGGUGUUGCCAUGUGGCAAUCAACAUCACUGUGUGGACAAUUUUACAUUUGAAAGCAUUUAUUUGGAUCUGUUUGCCUUCAGAAGAGAAUGCUCAGGACUGUUUACUGGUAGAAGAUCUGGCCUGUGACAAAGAACUCCAGCUUGCUAUGGGAGACUGGGGGAUGAUACCAUUGUAUUCUGUGAAGGCAAUAUACAAGUUGGCACCUCCAUGCUCCCUCUUAUCUGCUGGCAAGGCCUGGAAGAUGGGAACUAAAGGAGUUCUGCGAAGAUCCAAAAGCCAGAAGCUGUCACUCCAAAAGGAGCUGACUCAACCACUUUGGACUUAUAAAUAAGUUUGUACUUAUGUAAGGCAUUGGAAAGUAUCUCCAUCGUCUCCAUAGUCACUGUUGUCAUCAACCAAACAACAGCCCCCGACGACCGAUCACUACUGAAGAUCAACGAUUGAACUACGAACCACACUAGACCCGUGGUGGUGUCUAUCUCCCUCUUGCUCUCUUCAAAGACUCCUUGCUUUUAUUUCCUAUCUUUUCUAUCACCCAUCUUCUCUUCCUCAUCUCCCUAAAUGACUAGGAUUUGUAAUAAACUGUUCAGGCUAACAUUUGACCCAUUGUGUCUUAAUCACACCAUCAGUUAUACAUAUGUCAAAGAACCUCCUCUCCCUCCUAUAAAUUGGAGCGAGACAACGUCUUUAUUUGUUUUCAGAAUAUAAUGACUGCAAGAAUGUAAAUAUCACUAGUUAGACUGUGGAAGGAAAUACUAUAAACAGUAGUAUCUGCUUGUUUUUUUCUUUCAGAAAAAAUAAAACAAAAUGCCA
ensembl:lncRNA